rnacentral:rRNA from 1 species
GAUGAACGCUGGCGGCGUGCCUAACACAUGCCAGUCGAGCGGAGUAGAGACGAAGUGCUUGCAUGGAAUUUCUAUUCAGCGGCGGACGGGUGAGUAACACGUGAGCAACCUACCUUCUUCUGGGGGAUAACACUGGGAAACUGGUGCUAAUACCGCAUAAUGUCCCACUGUCACAUGGCGGAGGGACCAAAGGAGCAAUCCGGUGGAAGAUGGGCUCGCGGCCGAUUAGAUAGUUGGUGAGGUAACGGCCCACCAAGUCUGCGAUCGGUAGCCGGACUGAGAGGUCGAACGGCCACAUUGGGACUGAGACACGGCCCAGACUCCUACGGGAGGCAGCAGUGGGGAAUAUUGGGCAAUGGGCGAAAGCCUGACCCAGCAACGCCGCGUGAAGGAAGAAGGCCUUCGGGUUGUAAACUUCUUUGAUCGGGGACGAACACAAUGACGGUACCCGAAAAACAAGCCACGGCUAACUACGUGCCAGCAGCCGCCGUAA